rnacentral:rRNA from 1 species
GUAGGUGGCAAGCGUUGUCCGGAAUUAUUGGGCGUAAAGCGCGCGCAGGUGGUUCUUUAAGUCUGAUGUGAAAGCCCCCGGGCUCAACCGGGGAGGGUCAUUGGAAACUGGGGAACUUGAGUGCAGGAGAGGAAAGUGGAAUUCCACGUGUAGCGGUGAAAUGCGUAGAUAUGUGGAGGAACACCAGUGGCGAAGGCGACUUUCUGGCCUGUAACUGACACUGAGGCGCGAAAGCGUGGGGAGCAAACAGGAUUAGAUACCCUGGUAGUCCACGCCGUAAACGAUGAGUGCUAAGUGUUCGGGGGGGUUUCCGCCCCUCAGUGCUGCAGCUAACGCAUUAAGCACUCCGCCUGGGGAGUACGGUCGCAAAGACUG